UUCAAUCUAGGAAUAUAUUGCAUCUGGAAUUGAGCGUUAUUGAAUAACAUCAUCGAGGAAACGGUUUGUCUAUUUGUUCUGUCAAGCGGCGAUAUGGCGUGUAUAUAAGUCUCGUCAAUCGUUUGGUUGGUGAAGAUGGGUAAUCCGGCAUUCAGCUGAACUUAGGACAAAACUUCACUUGGCCAGUUGGCAGCAAAUUAAAAUUAUUCUUUAAUGUUCAGCAGAACAGAGAAGUCGGACACAAAGCAAAACAAGCAUUUCAUUACUGCGAACUUACUGGAUCGGGUUCUGCUGUUUUAUAUUUCAUAGAGGAUUAGACUAGAUACGGAUUUGUUGCGGUCGAGAAUUAUGGCUGUUUCAAUACGCCUUACGCAUAUUGUUAUCCUAUUUACCAUUUUGAAUCUCACGCUCUGCAUACCUCCUGGUCCUCCUAUGGGUCUUCAAAGUAACUUGGUUUUCUCAAAGGAAGAUAUGUUUCUUACACGUUUGCGCAGGCAUCUACACAACGAUGCAACCCAGCAGAUGAAUGUGGUUCGUGCAGACGGCAGAAUAAUAAAGAAGGCUAACAAGACAUACUAGGUAUCUAACAAGUUGACAUGUAAAGAUUUUAGCUGCAAAACUGUAGAAAUAUUAAAGACAGACAAAUAUACAUUCAUAAAGUGUAUUGAGAGCAAUCGUGAACACUAACAAAAUUAAUAUACAUUCAAUAAAUGUAUUGAACGUGAUCGAGGUUUGUGUAUCAACAAAUAUAGUAAUAUGUUUCGUCAUUACAUAAUAAUCAUGACUGUGCUCUGUAAAUUCAAAUAAAUCUAGAUUAACAAUUAAAUUAUUUUAACUCUUGCAGUAGUUUACCUGUAAAUAUUCUCAUACAUUUUGCAGUUUGAUAUUCAAUUUCUUCAGUUUGGAACAAGCUUUUGUCUUAAACUAAGUAUAUAUAUAUUUAUUUAUUUAUUUAUUUAUAGUAGAGAGAAUUUAUACGAACUAAAUCACCACCACAAUAUACCAAACCAAUUACGGCAAAGUGCCUAGAAGUACAUUUUCUUUCAUAAGGUUACCGUAGGACUGGAUACUUAUCAUAUUCUCAAAAAGUUGCCACCCCCCUCCCCCCCAACCCCCAUCCCCCUCUAAAAUGAAUGACAUUCAUAAUAUAAUAAUGAUAAACAGUUUAAAACUAGUUCCACCUAGUUGAAAUUUCAGCACUGGGACAUCAUUGCAAAUGCAUCAAAAUAAAGAUAUGAAACUUUGAAAA
rnacentral:lncRNA from 1 species